AAUGAACGCUGGCGGCGCGCCCAAUACAUGCAAGUCGAGCGAGAAGACGUAGCAAUACGUUUGUAAAGCGGCGAACGGGUGAGGAAUACAUGGGUAACCUACCCUCGAGUGGGGAAUAACUAGCCGAAAGGUUAGCUAAUACCGCGUACGCUUCUUGGACUUCGGUUCAGGGAGGAAAGCGAUGCCGAGGGUAUCGCGCUCUUGGAUGGGCUCAUGUCCUAUCAGCUUGUUGGGAGGUAACGGCUCACCAAGGCUUCGACGGGUAGCUGGUCUGAGAGGACGAUCAGCCACACUGGCACUGCGACACGGGCCAGACUCCUACGGGAGGCAGCAGUAAGGAAUAUUGCGCAAUGGGCGAAAAGCCUGACGCAGCGACGCCGCGUGGGGGAGUGAAGGU
rnacentral:rRNA from 1 species